rnacentral:rRNA from 1 species
UAACGCGUGGGAACGUACCCUUCACUACGGAAUAGUCCCGGGAAACUGGGUUUAAUACCGUAUACGCCCUUCGGGGGAAAGAAUUUCGGUGAGGGAUCGGCCCGCGUUAGAUUAGUUAGUUGGUGGGGUAAUGGCCUACCAAGACUACGAUCUAUAGCUGGUUUGAGAGGAUGAUCAGCAACACUGGGACUGAGACACGGCCCAGACUCCUACGGGAGGCAGCAGUGGGGAAUCUUAGACAAUGGGGGCAACCCUGAUCUAGCGAUGCCGCGUGAGUGAUGAAGGCCUUAGGGUCGUAAAGCUCUUUCGCCUGUGAUGAUAAUGACAGUAGCAGGUAAAGAAACCCCGGCUAACUCCGUGCCAGCAGCCGCGGUAAUACGGAGGGGGUUAGCGUUGUUCGGAAUUACUGGGCGUAAAGCGCACGUAGGCGGAUUAGUCAGUCAGAGGUGAAAUCCCAGGGCUCAACCCUGGAACUGCCUUUGAUACUGCUAGUCUUGAGUUCGAGAGAGGUAAGUGGAAUUCCGAGUGUAGAGGUGAAAUUCGUAGAUAUUCGGAGGAACACCAGUGGCGAAGGCGGCUUACUGGCUCGAUACUGACGCUGAGGUGCGAAAGUGUGGGGAGCAAACAGGAUUAGAUACCCUGGUAGUCCACACCGU